CAUAUACAUAAAAUAAGCAAUAAAAACAAGCCAGAAACAACACAAUGACUAUCAACUAAUAAAAAAGUAUGAAAUAUUUGGCAUAUACAUAUAUAUGGGAGUUUAUUAAGUAUUAACUUACACAAUCACAAGCUGUCUGCAAGCUUGGGUAGCAAGUAGAGCCAGUCCGAUUCUCAAAGCUGAAGAACCUGGAGUCUGAAGUUUGAGGGCAGGAAGCAUCCAGCAUGGGAGAAAUAUAUAGUCUUGGAGUCUAGGCCAGUCUCACCUUUUCACAUUUUUCUGCCUGUUCAUAUUCUCUGGCAGCUGAUUAGAUUGUGCACACCAGAUUAAAGGUAGGUCUGCCUUCCCCAGCCCACUGACUCAAAUGUUAAUCUCCUUUGGCAACACCCUCACAGACACACUCAGGAUCAAGACUUUGCAUCCUUUAAUCCAAUCAAGUUGCCACUCAGUAUUAACCAUCACCGCCUCCAAGGAUGGAAAGCCUAAGAUAAGAAUGCAAAGCUCUGGAGGGAGGUCCAAGAUCAAAGUGCUACCAGGUUCAGUGUCUGCUGAGAGCUCCAGACUAUCCUUCCAAGAUGGUGCCUUGAAUGUGGUCUUCUCACAUCGUGGGAGGAAUGGAAGGACAAAAGGGAUGGAAGGUUGUGUCCUCACAUGACAGAAGAGCAGCAGAGAUCAAACCCACUCCUUCAAGUCCUUUUACAAGGGCCCUAAUUCUAGCCAUGAGGAUUCCACCCUCAUGACUUAGUCACCUCUUAAAGGCCCCACUUCUUACUACUAUAUCAUUGGCCAUUAAGCUUCAACACAUAUUUUGGGGGACACAUUCAGACCACAAGGGGUAAAUAGUCAAAGAAGACAUGAAAAUUCAGGUGAGAAAUAUGAUAUUAAUUCAGUGCAUAAUGAACAAGCUUUGAAGAUCUUUGAUGGAUUGGAGGAGAAAAUAACCAGAAGCAGGAAAAUCAGUAAGGAAUCUUUAAUUGUCUCAGUAAGAACCAGUGAGCCUGAGGUGAUGGGAAGAAUGGAAAGAAGUGACAAACUUAAGAGCGUUUUUUUUCCUCAAGAACAAUAUGGAAAAUAGACUCCAUUGGACAUGAUAGAUAAUGGGAUAUAAUGGAGAGGUUGGAAUGAGGUAAGCAAAAUGCCAAAGAUAAUAUGGGAGUUUUCAGUGUGAAUACUGAGAAAAGAGCAUUCUUAUUAUUAAGGGAAAUAGAAAUGCAAUGAAGAGGGUAUGUCUGGGCUUGGGGGUGUUAUACCUAAAGCGCUUUCAUUUGAAGCCCCACUUACAUUAACUUAAGUAGAACGGAAUAAUUUAUUAUAAAAAUAUAGGAUUAUUUCCCAAAACUUAAGUGCAGAAAGUAUAGCUGAACCUCACAAGGGACCAGAAUCAGGAAUUGGCAGAACCAGGAAGGAACCACAUCCCUCCUUGGUGAUGCUGUUAUCCCAAGUUUCACAGUCUCACAUCCUGACCUCUAUUUGCUGCAUUCAUGCUUCUUUUCAUGAACAAGCUUUCUCUGCAUCGCCAUGCCCAUGAUUGAAGAUGGCCAUCCCACAGUGGCAGCUUCACCUCUGAGUUUGUAUCACUUCCCAGUUAAACCACAAUGAACUAGUGCUUGCUACUAUUCCAUACCCUUAGGAGAUCAUAUCUAGCCAGCUACAGCCAAGGGUGCAGGAUUAUGUAGUUCACACCCACUCUGGGGUGGAGAAAGUUCUCAGAGGAGGUCCAUGUGCUGAGGGGAAAUGCCUAAGAGGUGAGGAAAAGAUGAGCUCAGUUUUGGACAUUGUGAGUGGGAGGUGCAUGUGAAAUAUCUUAGUUGGAUAUCUAUCAAGCUACAAUUUCAAUCCAAAAUGAGAGAGCAAAUUGGCAGGAGGGGAAUCAAGGCUAGAGAAACAGAGGUGACAAUUAAAGGCAAAUCUUGAAAGAGGGGGUGUACAAUGAAAGAAAGGGGCCAAGGACUGAACCUUGGUGAAUGCUUCUAUUUCCAGGACAAAAUAAGGGGUAUUAGUAAAGGAUGCCAGUAAAGAAUACAGAAAAAGAUUUGUCUAAGGAUAUUAGAAAAGAAAGAGGAGAAUACAGAGUCAGGGCAUCAGGAAGAGAGGGGAAGAGCUGAUCCACAUGACCACCUGAUUAUUUUAUCCUCCAAUCCAUGGAAGACCUUCAAAUCCUGUUCUUUGACUACAGAGACUGUGAUCUCCUGGAGGACAGGGAUUGAGUCUGUCUUUCUGUGGGCUUGGUGCCCAGAGGGGAGCAAGGAGCUCAAUAUAUGUCUGUUGAAUUGAAUAAAGAUGGUGAAGAAAGAGAAGGUUGUAAGAUUUAGCUAGAAUGAGAUCCUUAGUAACUUUAAAGAAAGCAAUUACAGCCCUCUCCCUCUCCCUCUCCCUCUCCCUCUCCCUCUCCCUCUCCCUCUCCCUCUCCCCACGGUCUCCCUCUCAUGCGGAGCCGAAGCUGGACUGUACUGCUGCCAUCUCGGCUCACUGCAACCUCCCUGCCUGAUUCUCCUGCCUCAGUCUGCCGAAUGCCUGCGAUUGCAGGCACGCGCCGCCACGCCUGACUGGUUUUGGUGGAGACGGGGUUUCGCUGUGUUGGCCGGGCCGGUCUCCAGCCCCUAACCGCGAGUGAUCCGCCAACCUCGGCCUCCCGAGGUGCCGGGAUUGCAGACGGAGUCUCGUUCACUCAGUGCUCAAUGGUGCCCAGGCUGGAGUGCAGUGGCGUGAUCUCAGCUCACUACAACCUACACCUCCCAGCCGCCUGCCUUGGCCUCCCAAAGUGCCGAGAUUACAGCCUCUGCCCGGCCGCCACCCCGUCUGGGAAGUGAGGAGUUUCUCUGCCUGGCCGCCCAUCGUUUGGGAUGUGAGGAGCCCCUCUGCCUGGCUGCCCAGUCUGGAAAGUGAGGAGCGUCUCCGCCCGGCCGCCAUCCCAUCUAGGAAGUGAGGAGCG
rnacentral:lncRNA from 1 species